rnacentral:lncRNA from 1 species
CAUUAAUAAAUAUCUCUACAACUUUUCACAUACCCUCUUUAUAAAUAUAACUUUUAAUAUUAAAUUAAAUACACAUAAAAAUAAAAUUUUUAUGACCUUUCGCAAACGAUCUUAAUAAACGUAUUUAUUCUUAUUAGGAAAAACUUCAAAAACCCCCUAUGGUUUCACACUUUCUCACUUUAGUACCUUUUGGUUUAAAAUGUAUCAAUUUGCCUCCCUGUGGUUUCGUUUUUCUCUUUUUAUUAUUAAUUUCAUUAUUUUUUUUCUUAAAUCAGUGACAAAAUUAAAAUUAAAGAGUAAUAAAAAUAUUCGAUAAAUCUAAAUAGGUAUCUGAAGUUUUUUGUAUAUAAUUUAACGAAAUAUUAAUGAAAAAGAUACCGAAAAGAUAAAAACAAAACCACAUGGGGGCAAAUUGAUACACUUUAAACCACAAAGUACUAAAGUGAAAAAGUAUGAAACCACAGGAUGGGUUUUUAAAGUUUUCCCUUCUUAUUAAUUACAUAAACAUAAUAAAACUUAAAUUUAAAAAUAAAAUUUAAAAUUAGAUUAAUAAUUUUGAUGUACAAUUAAAAUUUAGAAUAGAAAUUUUAAUUUUAAUUCAAGAUUAAAAUUAUAGUUGAAAUUUAAAAUUAUUAUACUUAAUUAGUUUUAAUAAUUU